GAUGAACGCUGGCGGCGUGCCUAAUACAUGCAAGUCGAGCGAACAGACGAGGAGCUUGCUCCUCUGACGUUAGCGGCGGACGGGGGAGUAACACGUGGAUAACCUACCUAUAAGACUGGGAUAACUUCGGGAAACCGGAGCUAAUACCGGAUAAUAUAUUGAACCGCAAGGUUCAAUAGUGAAAGACGGUUUUGCUGUCACUUAUAGAUGGAUCCGCGCCGCAUUAGCUAGUUGGUAAGGUAACGGCUUACCAAGGCAACGAUGCGUAGCCGACCUGAGAGGGUGAUCCGCCACACUGGAACUGAGACACGGUCCAGACUCCUACGGGAGGCAGCAGUAGGGAAUCUUCCACAAUGGGCGAAAGCCUGACGGAGCCACGCCGCGUGAGUGAAGAAGGUCUUCGGGUCGUAAAACUCUUUUAUUAGGGAAGAACAAAUGUGUAAGUAACUAUGCACGUCUUGACGGUACCUAAUCAGAAAGCCACGGCUAACUCCGUG
rnacentral:rRNA from 1 species